rnacentral:rRNA from 1 species
UCCAGACUCCUACGGGAGGCAGCAGUGGGGGAUAUUGCACAAUGGGGGAAACCCUGAUGCAGCGACGCCGCGUGUGGGAAGACGGUCCUCUGGAUUGUAAACCACUGUCCCCAGGGACGAAGAUGACGGUACCUGACUAAGAAGCCCCGGCUAACUACGUGCCAGCAGCCGCGGUAAUACGUAGGGGGCAAGCGUUAUCCGGAUUUACUGGGUGUAAAGGGAGCGUAGACGGUCCUGCAAGCCAGAUGUGAAAGCCCGGGGCUCAACCCCGGGACUGCAUUUGGAACUGUAAGGCUAGAGUGUCGGAGAGGCAGGCGGAAUUCCUAGUGUAGCGGUGAAAUGCGUAGAUAUUAGGAGGAACACCAGUGGCGAAGGCGGCCUGCUGGACGAUGACUGACGUUGAGGCUCGAAAGCGUGGGGAGCAAACAGGAUUAGAUACCCUAGUAGA